rnacentral:antisense_RNA from 1 species
CUUUAUGGCGGGCUGUGCGCAGGAGGCUUAUGCCUGCCGGUUUUUCCUGACUGACCGGUCUGCGAACCUGCGUACAGUUCGCCACCCUU